rnacentral:rRNA from 1 species
GACGAACGCUGGCGGCGUGCUUAACACAUGCAAGUCGAACGGUAAGGCCUUCGGGUACACGAGUGGCGAACGGGUGAGUAACACGUGGGUGAUCUGCCCCCUACUCUGGGAUAAGCCUGGGAAACUGGGUCUAAUACCGGAUAUGACCUCCUUCUGCAUGGUGGGUGGUGGAAAGUUUUUUCGGUAGGGGAUGAGCCCGCGGCCUAUCAGCUUGUUGGUGGGGUAAUGGCCUACCAAGGCGACGACGGGUAGCCGGCCUGAGAGGGCGACCGGCCACACUGGGACUGAGACACGGCCCAGACUCCUACGGGAGGCAGCAGUGGGGAAUAUUGCACAAUGGGCGAAAGCCUGAUGCAGCGACGCCGCGUGGGGGAUGACGGCCUUCGGGUUGUAAACCCCUUUCAGUCGGGACGAAGCGAGAGUGACGGUACCGAUAGAAGAAGCACCGGCCAACUACGUGCCAGCCGCCGCAGUAAAAC